GUCCUAGCUUCGGCUGGACAUAUACUAAAAUUGGAACGAUACAGAGAAGAUUAGCUUGGGCCCUGCAUUAGGAUGACAUGCAAAAUCAUGAAGCGUUCCAUAUGUUU